AGGGAGAGGGAAAGAGAGCGGGAGAGAGAAAGAGAUCAGAGAGAACGGGAACGUGCAGCGGUAGAAUACAUGUGUGGAGGUUCUGAGCAACCUGGCCGACCAGGCAGCCGUAGUUAUCUGCGUUCCUCUUCGCCCUCUGUGAGAUCACAGGAGGGCGUCCUCCAACAGCGGCCGAGCAUCUUCCAGGGCACCACCUCCAAGAGCGUCAUUACCCCACUCAUG